rnacentral:rRNA from 1 species
UGGCUCAGGACGAACGCUGGCGGCGUGCUUAACACAUGCAAGUCGAACGCUGAAGCCCCAGCUUGCUGGGGUGGAUGAGUGGCGAACGGGUGAGUAACACGUGAGUAACCUGCCCAUCACUCUGGGAUAAGCGCUGGAAACGGCGUCUAAUACUGGAUACGAGCAGCGACCGCAUGGUCAGCUGUUGGAAAGACUGGUUCGGUGAUGGAUGGACUCGCGGCCUAUCAGCUUGUUGGUGAGGUAAUGGCUCACCAAGGCGACGACGGGUAGCCGGCCUGAGAGGGUGACCGGCCACACUGGGACUGAGACACGGCCCAGACUCCUACGGGAGGCAGCAGUGGGGAAUAUUGCACAAUGGGCGCAAGCCUGAUGCAGCAACGCCGCGUGAGGGAUGACGGCCUUCGGGUUGUAAACCUCUUUUAGUAGGGAAGAAGCCUUCGGGUGACG